AGUCUUCUAAAUCCAUGCUGAGAUUUCUUCAGACACCAGACUAUCAGGACUGAUGAGACUCCUAAGAUAAAUGAAGCG
rfam:Schistosoma margrebowiei strain Zambia genome assembly, scaffold: SMRZ_scaffold0000444